rnacentral:rRNA from 1 species
AACGAACGCUGGCGGCAGGCCUAACACAUGCAAGUCGAGCGGACCCUUCGGGGUUAGCGGCGGACGGGUGAGUAACGCGUGGGAAUAUGCCCUUCUCUACGGAAUAGUCCUGGGAAACUGGGGGUAAUACCGUAUACGCCCUUUGGGGGAAAGAUUUAUGGGGGAAGGAUUAGCCCGCGUUGGAUUAGGUAGUUGGUGGGUAAUGGCCUACCAAGCCGACGAUCCAUAGCUGGUUUGAGAGGAUGAGCAGCCACACUGGGACUGAGACACGGCCCAGACUCCUACGGGAGGCAGCAGUGGGGAAUCUUAGACAAUGGGGGCAACCCUGAUCUAGCCAUGCCGCGUGAGUGAUGAAGGCCUUAGGGUUGUAAAGCUCUUUCAGCUGGGAAGAUAAUGACGGUACCAGCAGAAGAAGCCCCGGCUAACUCCGUGCCAGCCGCCGCGGUAA